rnacentral:lncRNA from 1 species
UGGCUAAAGUCCAGCUUGACAAGGAGAAUUCUACUACUCCAAAACCAAAACCAGAAAAGAGAAAGAGCAGAAUGGGUAGAACUUUCCUAUUCACAGACCCUUGUCGAAUUUGCAAUGUGUUUGGGCACUGGACUGAUUUAUGCCCCUACCUGAAAUUUGUCCCAUACAACGUAACUAAGGUUGGCAAGGGCUAUGAAAUACAUGACGGCCGCCAUGGGAGGUAUGCUGCUCCGAUUUAUUGUCUUAACUGUAUGGAGCCGGUUGAACACGAGGCUGGAAAGUGCCCGCACGACACUGAUGCAUGGCAAUAAUCCAGGGCCGUCAUGGUUCGCCUCCUUCCACCCCAUAAUCUUGCUGAUGGCGAGGAAGGUGUUGGAUUAUCUAGUCUUGGGCUGUUGCUUUCUUCUUUACUUGCUUUGAGUUUCAGCACUCUGUAGUCUGUGUAAUAUGUCUUUGAGUAAGCUUACCCUCCCCGUCCGUUGUCACUGAUGGCUGGCGGAUAGAUACUGUAUUUGGGUUUGGUUUGCUUGUACUGGUCUUGAAUACAAAAGAAAACUGUUAGAUCCUGUGAGAGACCAAUUGAUCCAACUGUUUUUGUUCCAUUGUUCACUAGAGAAAGCCCCGUCCUGAUGGGCGGAUGCGUUUCUCUGCUAUGAUGUUUGAUCUCUCUAUUGGCUUUAUGCUUUCAAAAUAAGGUUGUAAGCUCCAUUCCAUAGUGUCCGAUCGCUUCGCUUGUGAAGUAUAUAAGCUCCAUUCCAAGUCAGUAUUUGGAUAUCGGGAAUAUCAGGAAUCCGAUUACUGAUUUUGGGUGGAGCCCACUAUUAUUUUCAUUCCCAAAAUUUGGUAAGGAAUCACUUGGAGAGGAAUUUAAUUCCCCUUCUUCUACCUCCAUUCCGGUUUGGUAAACACGCCAUUAGUGAGGUGAGGUGACGAUUAGAACACAAUUCGGUCGUUACUGCACUCAAAUUACAAACAAUGUCAAGCAUUGCUGUUGUAUUGUCCCCGUGCACCUUCUACUUGUAGUUGGCUUCGACAAUGGGUUAUCCUAGCUUAUCUUGGGGCACACAUUACUUCAUUACGUAUCAUACCACGGAGACGAGGGAAAUUAGACAUUUUCUUGACCAAGUAAGAGAUUUGCUUGUUGGAUCAUCACCGUCGAGUAAGAGAAGAGAUUGGGAAAUUUGGAAAACUAGCCAAAAUUUGAACCAUAAAUAGAAUUUUAGCCAAUCUUCAUAAUUUAUUAUAAUUUUAACCAAAAUUUGACAUGAAAAUACAACAACGCCCUUUCUUAACUAAAAUAAUCACAAAACUAUAUCUUCUCUUUUGUUCAGUUUCCCUAAAAAUACCUUCACGCCUAACUUAAUAACUACCUCUCUAAGCAGAACGUUUUGAGGGAAAGGCCCAGUGGCCUCAUCCGGUUUGGAUGCAAAGCUAUGAUUUUCUUCCUUCUCAACGACGAGUACCCAUUUGAAAAUUUCAAGCUCCAAUUUUGGUUUGUGGAAGAGGACCUAUUUGUGAUGAUAGGUUUUAAAGCCGUUGGAGUGAGAGAAGCUGCAGAGCAGUGUAAGAGUAACCCCAUUGAAGCAGUUUUGGAGCUUCUGAUGUCAAAUGCCUACGAGUGAAGAUAUUUUUGUAAGGGAAAAAAACUGCAUAGUUUUGCAAAUAUUUUAGUUUAAAAAGGGUAUUUUAGUAGUUUUAUGUCAAAUUUUGAUUAGAAUGAUAAUAAACUAUAAAGGUUGGUUAAAAUUCUAUUCAUGAUUCAAAUUUUGGUUAGUUUUCCAAAUUUCCCGAAGAGAUUUGAUUAUUGGACUCCUAUUCCCCUAGCGACGCAUCUUGAGGAAAUUGGAGUCAAAUUUCAAUGUCCAUCUAUAUGAAAGCUAAGUUGGACAUAACCUUCAACCCCAUUAAUGGUGUGAUGGAAAUUCCACAUAUGAUAAUUCAAGUCAACACAGAAUCUGUCUUCAGAAACCUCGUAGCCUACGAACAGUGUUCAGUGAGGCACCAUGAAUGUUGAAUCUUUUCCUGUGUCAUGCUGUUCAACCACCUUAUCAAGUCUACCAAAGAUUUAGACCCUCUCAUUCAGAAACAAAUUAUAUACACCGAGUUGACCAAGGAGGACACUGUUUCUUUGUUCAAUAGGCUUUGCAAUGACACUGAAAGCAUUACUUUUAACAUAACGAGGAGGUUAGAUGUAGCUAUAAAGUAUACGAAAUUUUACUACGCAAUUCGAAUCAUGAAUCAUGCUUUGUACAUAUCCCGGAGAUGAGGUAUGUUAGAUAUACGAAUACUUGGUGACGUCAUGUGUUGAUUCUGGACAAAUGUCGAGAUCGGGGCAUGACAUACAAAGUAGAUAUUUCAUCCAAAAAAAAUAAGAAAAUAAAAAGCAAAUUAAGUAGCCAUUUAUAGAAUAAAAAAUUCAAUCAAAGGGAAAAUUGAAUUGUAUUGCUUUUUCUUCAUACAAUUUUUUUCAAUGAAAUUUCUAUUUUAUCUUUUAACUUAACAGAAAAAUUGACAGAGUAAUCUAAAAGGACUAUAAUUACAACAAAAAGCAUGAUUCAAAGAUGGAAUAAAUUAUUACUUGUGGUAUAAUUUAUUCAGAAACCUUUACUAUAAUUUAUCCAAAUCAUUCACAAAUCUGGAACACAACUUUUCAACAAUGGAUGGUCGGAAGAGUUUAGUGAAACCAAUUAAAGCAGCUGAAUUCACAUAAUAAAAUCGGUUUCUAUAUAAUUUACAUUAAGAAUAGAUAAAAUAAUAUUUAAUAAACAAUUGAUUGAAUCACAUUAUUGCUAGCUUAUUGUGAAGUUAAACCUAUCCCCUCCCCCUUAGUGUAGAUAAUAUCGUUUGUUAAAAAAAAAACAAUCAUUUGACAACUAAUUUAAUCACAUUAUUAUCCGCGUGCGUAAGACAUUUUUUAUAACCAGCAUUACGCUCCUCUUAAAAUGUUUUGUACGUGUUUAAAAAUAGAGAAAAUAAUAUUUACUAAACAACUUAUUGAAUCACAUUAUUGCUAUCCCAUUAUGAGGCUAAGCUCACCCCUCCCCCUUAGUGUAUAUAAUAUCGUUUGUUAAAAAAAAACAAUCACUUGACAACUAAUUUAAUCACAUUAUUAUCCGCAUGCGAAUGACCUUUUUUAUAAUCGACAUUACACGCUUCUUAAAAUGUUUUGAACGUGUUUAAAAAUAGAGAAAAUAAUAUUUAAUAAACAACUGAUUGAAUCACAUUAUUGCUAGCCCAUUGUGAGGCUAAGCCCAAUCUAUCUCCCUUAGUGUAGAUAAUAUCGUUUUUAAAAAAAAAAUCAUUUGACAACUAAUUUAAUCACAUUAUUAUCCGCGUGCGAAAUUUUUUUUUAUAACCGGCAUUACACGCCUCUUAAGAUAUUUUGAACGUGUUUAAAAUAGAGAAAAUAAUAUUUAAUAAACAACUGAUUGAAUCACAUUAUUUCUAGCCCAUUGUGAGGGUAAGCCCACCCCCCUCCCCCUCCCCCUCCCCCUUAGUGUAGAUAAUAUCGUUUGUUAAAAAAAAAAACAAUCAUUUGAUAACUAAUUUAAUCACAUUAUUAUCUGUGUGCAAAUGAGUUUUUUUUUUAAGAUGUUUUGAACGUGUUUAAAAAUAAAGAAAUUGAAUCAAAUUAUUGCGAGCCUAUUGUGAGGUACUAAUUAAAAAAAACCACAAAAAAAUUAAUUAUUAAAAAUUAACUAUGAAAAUGAUGAAAAUAUCAUUGUCUUAUUUGAUGCAUUAUUUUGGAAUGCCUUUGAAGUUUUUUGUCUUGGGAGCAUUUUUGUUCAAAUAUUUUUGUUGAAGCAUGGUGAUACCAAACACUAUUCACCUUUUCCAUUCUCUUUAUAUAUAACUAGCCUUCAUGCACGAGCGUGCAUAAGACAUUUUUUGAAUCACGACGUGCUACGUGCGAUAUAUACGUUUUAAAUGUAUUUAUAUGUGUAAAUUGACAAAAGGAAAGUCAAAUAUUUAAAGUAAAUGAAUAAUCUUAGAUCAUGCUAGAAGAAACCCCUCAUAAAUCAAUUAAAACAGCUGAAUUCACAUAAUAACAUCGGUCUCUAUAAAAUUUACAUUAAAAAUAGAGAAAAUAAUAUUUAAUAAAUAAUUGAUUGAAUCAUAUUAUUACUAGCCCAUUGUGAAGUUAAGCCCACCCCCUCCUCCUUAGUGUAGAUAAUAUCUUUUGUUAAAAAAAAAAAACAAUCAUUUGACAACUAAUUUAAUCACAUUAUUAUCUGCGUGCGAAAGACUUUUUUAUAACUGACAUUACACGCCUCUUAAGAUGUUUUGAACGUGUUUAAAAAUAGAGAAAAUAAUAUUUAAUAAACAACCGAUUGAGUUACAUUAUUGCUAGCCUAUUGUGAGGCUAAGCCCGUCCCCUUCCCUUAGUGUAGGUAAUAUCGUUUGUUAAAAAUAAAAUAAAAAUCAUUUGACAACUAAUUUAAUAUAAUUUAAUCACAUUAUUAUCCGCGUGCGAAAGACCUUUUCUAUAACUGGCAUUACACGUCUCUUAUGUCACAUCCUGACCCCGGCUUGACCAUAUCCCGGGCUUGACUCCACCGUAGCACGAUAUUGUCCACUUUGGGCCCUAAUCAUGCCCUCACGGUUUUGUUUCGAGAACUCACAUAAGAAUUUCCUAAUGGGUCACCCAUCUUAGAAUUGCUCUCACGCGACGAAUUCCGAAGCUAGUGAGCUCCCAAAAGGCCUCGUGUUAUUUGGAGGUGGGCAUGUAUAUAUUAGGCUUACAUGAUCAUCAUCCCUAGGCAAUGUGGAUCUUACAAUUCACCCCCUUAGAGGCCCGACGUUCUCGUCGGCACACUUCCGGUCAGGGAGUGACUCUGAUACCAAAUUGUCACAUCCCGACCCGGGCUCGACUCCGCCAUAGCACAAUAUUGACCAUUUUGGACCCCGACCACGCCAUCACGGUUUUGUUUCUAGGAACUUAUACGAGAACUUCCUAGUGGCUUACCCCUCGUGUGAUUGCAAUUGUGCGAACUCGCUUAACUUUGGAGUUCCGAUGGAACCCGAAGCCAAUAAGCUCCUAAAAACUGAUAUUUUUGAAAUUAAGGACUAAUAUUUGGCUAUAUUUGAUAAAUAAUCCUUCCCCGGCAGAAUCCCCAAUUUCGCCUGUCGCUUACAAAACAGAACCAUGAUCAACCGAUCCAAGGCCGAGGCCAAGGCCAGGUUCAAGGCUAAGGCCAAGGCCAAGUCGAAGUCCCUAGCCGGACGAGGAUCCGGAUCCUGGCAGGGGAAGAUUCCAGGCCAACCGACGAAGCCCGGAGGUGAGAUCCGGACUCCUCCCUCUUCUCAUGGUAUGCUUUUUUGCAUGUUUGCUUUGGUUUUAGGGUUUGUGAGUAGGAAGAAGAUUAUCUGUAAUUUCGAAUUUGCAGCUUAAUUAACACCAUGCAUGUGUGUUUUUUAUGUUUAAAGGGUUUCCGUGCUUGAAUUUAAAUGGGGUACUUGAUGAUGCCUAAUUUUUAUGCGCAGAAAAUAUGUAAUUUUUUUCGUGUUCAUUUAAUUAUUAAAAGCUAUAGAUAUUCAUAUCACAAUCAAUUAGGUAUUUUGGUAUGACCAAUUUUGUUUGAUUUUCCAUGCGUGAUUACUAGAGCAUAAGUAGAAUCUAUCAAGUAUCAUCCCAAAUCUGUUCGAUUUGGCCUCCUGCAGUUAUUCGUGUAGAACUCAUUCUCAACAAAUUUCAUAGGUAGUGGACUAUCUAUUAUUCUCAGUUAGCUAUUUAUGCACGCAAUUCCAUUGGGAUACCAGCCUUCGAACCCGCAACAUUGGGGAUUUGUGCUUGCACACUUAACCACAAUGGUAGGAAGAAGGCCGGUAGCUAUAUACACACACACACACACGCACACGCAUACACACGAACCCACAACAUUGAAGAUUUGUGCUUGCACACUUAACCACAAUGGUAGGAAGAAGGCCGGUAGCUAUAUAUACACACACGCACACACACGCACACACACGAACCCACAACAUUGAGCAUUUGUGUUUGCACACUUAACCACAAUGGUAGGAAGAAGGCCGGUAGCUAUUUACACACACACGCGCGCGCGCGCCCCCAACUUUGAGGAUUUGUGCUUGCACACUUGGCCACAAUGGUGGGAAGAAGGCCAGUAGCUAUAUACACACACACACGCACACACACGAACCCACAACAUUGAGGAUUUGUCCUUGCACACUGAACCACAAUGGUAGGAAGAAGGCCGGUGGCUAUACACAUGCACGCUCAAACACACACAUAUACAUAUAUAGGUGGCAAUGGCAUGCAUAUGGCUGGCAUUGUUAUCCUCCUAACAAGUUAACCCAGAGACAGAGAGUAGAACGUGAAUGAGCAUGAAGCACUAGUAGUAAGUUUUUUGAUGAUUCAACGAGAUCGAGAAUGCAAACUAAUUAAGGGCCCAACCCCAAUCCAGAUGGCUUACGCACUUAGCUUAUAUGUGCACUGUGCAAUUUAUAUUAUUAAUUAAUGUAUCUCCACAUUUCCUCAAACACACAGAUGGCCCUCCUACUCAACUCAAAAAUCAAAAGGCUGUUGAAAAGAAUCUGGCUAAAGUCCAGCUUGACAAGGAGAAUUCUACUACUCCAAAACCAAAACCAGAAAAGAGAAAGAGCAGAAUGGGUAGAACUUUCCUAUUCACAGACCCUUGUCGAAUUUGCAAUGUGUUUGGGCACUGGACUGAUUUAUGCCCCUACCUGAAAUUUGUCCCAUACAACGUAACUAAGGUUGGCAAGGGCUAUGAAAUACAUGACGGCCGCCAUGGGAGGUAUGCUGCUCCGAUUUAUUGUCUUAACUGUACGGUGCCGGUUGAACACGAGGCUGAAAAGUGCCCGUACGACAGCUG